UCCCAGGUAGCUCAAUGGUAAAGAAUCUGCCUGCCAAGCAGGAGACCCAGGUUCAAUCCUUAGGUUGGGAA
rnacentral:tRNA from 1 species